rnacentral:lncRNA from 1 species
CAGUAAUUCAAUUUCCGUGCAUUCACGCAUCAGUUCACCGGUCGGGGCUUAUCUGGAGAAACCUGGGACUUGAAAGCUUUUUAUCGAGAAAUUCCACAUGCAGAGAGACCUUUUUCCUAGUUUUGAGAGAUUUCCAGUGGUUUCGAUCAAGACCAAGUGGACCAGGCAUCCUGGCAAGGAAAGGCCCCGUGUGAAAUCACACCACCAGGUGCAGCAUUAGCCUGAGCAGUAAUUAUGACCCAUCGGAAGGCCCAUCCAGAGAUGCCAGUCUGAACCACCAUGCUCUCUGGCCACCUGGCCUGCUGCCCGAG